GCUACUUUGCUGACGAGCGGCGGACGGGUGAGUAAUGCUUGGGAACAUGCCUUGAGGUGGGGGACAACAGUUGGAAACGACUGCUAAUACCGCAUAAUGUCUACGGACCAAAGGGGGCUUCGGCUCUCGCCUUUAGAUUGGCCCAAGUGGGAUUAGCUAGUUGGUGAGGUAAUGGCUCACCAAGGCAACGAUCCCUAGCUGGUUUGAGAGGAUGAUCAGCCACACUGGGACUGAGACACGGCCCAGACUCCUACGGGAGGCAGCAGUGGGGAAUAUUGCACAAUGGGCGCAAGCCUGAUGCAGCCAUGCCGCGUGUGUGAAGAAGGCCUUCGGGUUGUAAAGCACUUUCAGUCAGGAGGAAAGGUUAGUAGUUAAUACCUGCUAGCUGUGACGUUACUGACAGAAGAAGCACCGGCUAACUCCGUGCCAGCAGCCGCGGUAAUACGGAGGGUGCGAGCGUUAAUCGGAAUUACUGGGCGUAAAGCGUACGCAGGCGGUUUGU
rnacentral:rRNA from 1 species